AACAGCCCCUGCCUGUCUUGUCACGUGAUCUUUGUAUUCUUGCUUGUGAUACUGGAAGCUGCAAUCGCCGCCGAUGUAUUUCUGAAUAGGUACUGGGAGGAGGACAAAUCCCACCAGACUUGGCUCUAAUUGAAGUUAUCAUAAGACAGAUCCUUGCAGCGCAACACGCAGGGUGAGCCAGAUGGCAUGGCGUUCAAACAAAGCCAUAUUUUUAUUUAGUCUACUAUAUAAUGUACUGCUAUCACUAUAUGACAUAGAAGAACCAUAUAAAUCUGUUAUCCUGGACUGCCAUUGGCUUGCUUUUGGUGUAUCAGUGUAUUUUUGAACUGGAUGAAGAAAACCUAUCACCAUAUGUAAUCGACUUGGUACUACGGUACCAUUUUCUAUGAGAUGCAUGUAUUCUGCUUGUUCCUA